UCCCCGGCAGUUUCCAGCUUUUGCAUUAUGGAGAAGAUUAAAAGGUCACAAACAGUGCACAGUGGGUCCACCCUGAUGGUGAAGAACAAGGGAAAUCAAAGGGGCUAUGUCAUUCACUAAUGUUGAACAGGUGCUACAGAAUCAACUUGGGCUCCAAAAUCAGUUGUUUUGAAAGACCCUGCAAGAGAGAACUUAAGAGAAGCCAAAAUGAACCAUAUACCAGAUUCUGAAGACAGAUCACACUAGAAAAGAAAAAGACUAAUUGUGAUAUCCCAGUGUGGUCAAGAAAAAAGUAGUGUGAAUGCUUGUAUGAUGUCUCUAAAAAGAUAAUGAGAGAACUAAGGAAGAGUUCAUUCCCCAGAGACCAGACCAAGAGAAGCAUUUAAGCACUAAUACGCCAUUAAGAAGAAAGAAAUUGCUUAAAGGGAUACAAACUGGCUCCAAAAAGAUAAACAGGUAUAACCAUGGGUAAAGAGAAGCAAAUGAAGCCUAAAAGCAGUUCCAAAAAAAUUGUACAAGAGGAAUCCUCCUCCUUGUCAUCGGAUGAAGGCAACAUGGAGCGAAGACCUGCCAGACCCACAUUUGUCCCUAAGGGUAUUCAAAGCCUCAUAUGCAUCCUGGGCCGCAGAAGGGGAAACUGUCCCUCAUAUAACAGCCCCCCAAGCCUCCCAGGAGCCUUCAAAAGAGCCUGAACCAUGUCCCGCACCAACCAGAGGAAGAGGCCUCAGGGUCCAAGGCAAAAGACGUGGU